UGAAGCCGGAAUCGCUAGUAAUCGUGGAUCAGCAUGCCACGGUGAAUACGUUCCCGGGCCUUGUACACACCGCCCGUCACACCACGAGAGUUUGUAACACCCGAAGUCGGUAGGGUAACCUUUAUGGAGCCAGCCGCCGAAGGUGGGACAGAUAAUUGGGGUGAAGUCGUAACAAGGUAGCCGUAUCGGAAGGUGCGGCUGGAUCACCUCCUUUCUAAGGAA
rnacentral:rRNA from 1 species